UAAAGGAGUUAUACCAACGGUGCUCCACCUGAUCCCAUUCCGAACUCAGAAGUGAAAUCCGUUAUGGCCCAUGAUAGUCGGACUCAUCCGGCGAAAGUAGGUAACUCCUCUAC
rnacentral:rRNA from 1 species